CCUACGUGAGGCAGCAGUGAGGAAUAUUGGUCAAUGGGCGUAAUCCUGAACCAGCCAAGUCGCGUGAGGGAUGAAGGUUCUAUGGAUCGUAAACCUCUUUUAUAAGGGAAUAAAGUGCGGGACGUGUCCCUUUUUGUAUGUACCUUAUGAAUAAGGAUCGGCUAACUCCGUGCCAGCAGCCGCGGUAAUACGGAGGAUCCGAGCGUUAUCCGGAUUUAUUGGGUUUAAAGGGUGCGUAGGCGGCGUUUUAAGUCAGCGGUGAAAGUCUGUGGCUCAACCAUAGAAUUGCCGUUGAAACUGGGAGGCUUGAGUAUGUUUGAGGUAGGCGGAAUGCGUGGUGUAGCGGUGAAAUGCUUAGAGAUCACGCAGAACCCCGAUUGCGAAGGCAGCCUGCUAAGCCAUGACUGACGCUGAUGCACGAAAGCGUGGGGAUCAAACAGGAUUAGAUACCCUUGUAGUC
rnacentral:rRNA from 1 species